rnacentral:lncRNA from 1 species
GUGGUGUUUUCUUACAGAAGUCUGCUCACACACCAGUUGACCAGGGUCUUAAAAGAAUCCUUAUCUACUUCGACCAGAGAAAUUCCAACCCAAGGGAACUUGGAAUUUAUGGAUUUUGAAGGCAACAAGACCUAAGGUAAGAGGAAUGUCCAGGAGUAGUACAGGGACUCCCUUCUGAUACUUAUUUCAGGUGUAGCCUUGGAGAAUAAUGAAUUUAAGGGUAUCUAUCCAUAAGAAAAAUUCCAGGGCAGUCAAGAUAUGCAAUCUUCUUGUACUAUGUAUGAUAUAUGUCAUCUAUUGUAAAAGGUGUUUUGAUAGAAGUCACCUUGUUGCUCCUCAAAGGCAAUACUAUAAAGGCAUUCUAGUUUAAUUUCUAUUGUGACCAAAAGCAAAUUUGCUUCUUAAAGUUUUUUUCAUUUUCUUAAUUUCUCUCCAAUAUAUAAUCCAAGGAGAAUAUCUUUAUUUUCUCUUUUUAUUUGCAAUUAAAGUUACACUAUAUUGUGUGUGUGUGUUGAUGCCCUUGGAGGUCAGAAGAGGGGUUUGGCUCCCCUGGGGCUGGUGUCUCCAGUUGUUGUGACUCAAUGAAUUUGAGUGCUUGGAACUGAACUCUUGGUCCUUUGCAAGAGCAGCAAGCCCUCUUAACCACUGAGUCAUCCCUCCAGCUCUAUAUGCAAUUAUUUUUAAAGCUGUAUAGAUGCUUGUCUAGUUUUUAUUUAUGUUCAUAUUAAAAUUCCUUUCAAGAAUACACUUAGGUAUGUAGACUUGUGUGUGUAUGUGUGUGUGUGUGUGUUUUCUUGGAAACCUUGUGGGCUUUUUAGAUGCCAAUAAUUGAGGCAUAAUUGUAUAAUUAGUAAUUUUUUUCAUUUAUGUCUUUGAUUAUAGUAUUCACUCCGUUUGCUUUGGUUUUUUAUUCUCAAAAUUUAUAAGCUGGAUAUUCACAAAUCGGAGAAGACAAGUAGCGAUAUUCUGGCAACCUAAAACCAGUGUUUAAACAACAAGGGGAAGCGACUAGUUUGUAGGGUGUGAGAGAUUCCAUACAGGCACCCAUCCAUCCAGGUUCCAAGAAAUGUAAUGGCCUUUGUACCUCUUUUCAGAGGAGCUUCCAGUGACGAGGCUGACACAAGGCUUUUGUCAAUUGCAUUCUUUAGCACAGUUCCAUUAGCCAGGUAGCUAAUUAACGUAUCUAAGUUUUUAAGAUUUUUUUUUUAUUUACCUCCUUCAGAUUUGUAGAUAUUUUAAGAGAAAUUUUAGAAAGCUGGUGUCAGAUACCAAAUGACAUUAGAAGCUUUUAGCCUAUUUAAAAGGCAGCUAGACAAAGCGUUGGGAACUUGGUGCUUUCAACCUCACUUAAUUAGUAACAAACUAGCUGCAUUGAGCAGCUUUUGUGUGCCAGGCCCGGCAUUUGCUAGACUGCAAAGCUGAAUAAAAUGCUGUUCCAGUCCUUAUGGCUCUAGCAAUCUACUGGGCAGGGUUGACAUGCAAAAUAACUGGCUGAAUGUGGCAGGUAAGUAUAUGGUGCACACAGGAUUCUAAGAGCCUCAUGGAGAAGACUUCAUGGGGAGGUAGAGAAAUUUGCACUUUAUAAAGCUGGAAGCGGCUUGCCAAGAAAGCAGAGAGGUGGUGACCUACACCCUACUUGGGGGAGUUCGAGAGGGCUGGGCCUACAAAGUAGAAUUUCUUUCCAAGUUUUCAUUCUAUUGCUGUUGAGUUACACCUUGCUUUCUUAUGGCUGAUAGUUCUACGCGGGUGGGAUCUCACGGCAGCUUUGGCUCCCUCCCUUGGUCUUAUUCUCUCCACUGGCUGGGUCUGGGGUUCUGUGUGCACACUUUAACUCCUCAUGCAUUAACAUGCAUUAUGUGAUCUUAAAGACAAAGCGACAAUUUACAUAAGCAAAGAAUGUGAAUAUUUAAAAGGAUUAUGUACUUUAACAUCCCUGUCUGGCUUGCUGUUUAUGGCUGGAAGAGCCAUGUGAUGGUUUGAGUGAAAAUACUUCCCCAGCCCCACCCCGUACAAUCAUAGAAAGUGGCACUAUUGGGAGGUGUGACCUUGUAGAAAGUAUAUCACCAGAGGGUGGGCUUUGGGGUUUCAGAAGCUCAAGCCAUGCCCAGUGUCACCCUCUCUUCUUGCUGCCUGCCGAUCGAUCAAGAAGUAGAACUCUCUGCAGGUUCUCCACCACCAUUUCUGCCUGUGUGCCACCAUGAUUCCUGCCAUGAUGAUAAUGGACUAAACCUCUGCACUGUAAGCCAGCCCCACUUAAACGUUUUCCUUUGUAAGAGUUGCUGUGGCCGUGGCAUCUCUUCAUACAGUAAUAAAACCCUAACUAAGACAGGGCACAUACAUAGUAGGUGCUCAACAGGAAUCAUAAAGAUUGACCGGUACUGGAAAGUUAGAAGAUGGUCUCACAAACAUGACAUGGCAUGACAGGCCCUCUGUGUCUGUGUUGGUACCAGCAAGAAAAUUAAAUUCUAGCCAAGCCAAAGUAUUUGUUUAAGAAAAAAUAUCAUAUUAAGUCUCUGGACUGACAGUCUAGCAUUUUCCCUAUUACUCAAUGACAUUCUUGUUUAUAUUUAUUUAUUUUGUUUCUCUAACUGAAUUUUACUUAGAAAAAAAAACCCACUCCCUGAACUGGCAGUGGUUUAGAGAUUUUAUGAAAAGCCUACAAAAGGUACUUAGCACGCAAGCUCAUUUUCUUGUGUGUCUCGCCGCCUGUACCACACCUGACACUCUCUGUUAUACACAGCUUUGUGCUGUUGUCUGGUUUGCCUUUGUGUGAUUUGUGUUGUCUGAGUCGAGGAGACUUGUUUGACUGCUUAGAAUCCAGUGAAUUUCCCUUGCCCCCCUCCUCUGUGACAUCCUUAAGUUCACCCCAGCAACAGUUCUUCCCUGCCUCUCUCUCUAUGGCAGACUGCCAGACUUCAUCUAUCAUGCCUUUGGCUGUUCUCCGCUGCUGCAGCAGAAUUUUGUUU